UCUGGAAAUUAUAGGAAUCGCGUUUUUGGGAAGAAGCACGAUCGAUCUGCAUCCGCCACUAAUUUCUUCCCAAAACCUCCAAUUCCAAUGAUUUCCAG
rnacentral:pre_miRNA from 1 species